UGCAAGUCGAGCGAAUUUCUUUGGAGCUUGCUCCAAAGAAGUUAGCGGCGGACGGGUGAGUAACACGUGGGCAAUCUGCCCGUAAGACUGGGAUAACUCCGGGAAACCGGGGCUAAUACCGGAUAAUCCCGACUCUCUCCUGAGAGUCGGUUGAAAGAUGGUUUCGGCUAUCACUUACGGAUGAGCCCGCGGCGCAUUAGCUAGUUGGUGAGGUAACGGCUCACCAAGGCGACGAUGCGUAGCCGACCUGAGAGGGUGAUCGGCCACACUGGGACUGAGACACGGCCCAGACUCCUACGGGAGGCAGCAGUAGGGAAUCUUCCGCAAUGGACGAAAGUCUGACGGAGCAACGCCGCGUGAGUGAAGAAGGUUUUCGGAUCGUAAAACUCUGUUGUUAGGGAAGAACACGUACGAGAGUAACUGCUCGUACCUUGACGGUACCUAACCAGAAAGCCACGGCUAACUACGUGCCAGCAGCCGCGGUAAUACGUAGGUGGCAAGCGUUGUCCGGAAUUAUUGGGCGUAAAGCGCGCGCAGGUGGUUCCUUAAGUCUGAUGUGAAAGCCCCCGGCUCAACCGGGGAGGGUCAUUGGAAACUGGGGAACUUGAGUGCAGGAGAGGAAAGUGGAAUUCCACGUGUAGCGGUGAAAUGCGUAGAUAUGUGGA
rnacentral:rRNA from 1 species